UUUGAAUGAUGAAAAUUAUAUACUGAUAAAGGGCCAAAAGUUUAAUUUGUUUCUUUGAAAAAGUUAAACUUUUAAUUAUAUGAUGGCUUAAUCUUCUCACUGACAAAU